rnacentral:rRNA from 1 species
GACGAACGCUAGCGGCGUGCCUAAUACAUGCAAGUAGAACGCUGAAGCGAGGAGCUUGCUCUUCUUGGAUGAGUUGCGAACGGGUGAGUAACGCGUAGGUAACCUGCCUUGUAGCGGGGGAUAACUAUUGGAAACGAUAGCUAAUACCGCAUAACAAUGGAUGACACAUGUCAUUUAUUUGAAAGGGGCAAUUGCUCCACUACAAGAUGGACCUGCGUUGUAUUAGCUAGUAGGUGAGGUAAUGGCUCACCUAGGCGACGAUACAUAGCCGACCUGAGAGGGUGAUCGGCCACACUGGGACUGAGACACGGCCCAGACUCCUACGGGAGGCAGCAGUAGGGAAUCUUCGGCAAUGGGGGCAACCCUGACCGAGCAACGCCGCGUGAGUGAAGAAGGUUCUCGGAUCGUAAAGCUCUGUUGUAAGUCAAGAACGGGUGUGAGAGUGGAAAGUUCACACUGUGACGGUAGCUUACCAGAAAGGGACGGCUAACUACGUG